UAAAUCUUUUUUACAACUUGCUAUCCCCCCCAUUUUGCUUGCUGCUCAUGGUUCUUUUUAUUGCAGGUACAUGCGUGUAUGGGAAUUGCUGCGACGUGGGGCAUGCACGGCGCUGGAGGUUGCUGAGACGUGGGAUGUUGUUGCGAGGGAAGAACGUGGGCAGUUGCGGCAUAGGGCGAUGGUGGCGUCAAGGCUCUCUGCUGGUUAGGCUAGGGAUUUGGGUUAAUGACUUGGGCUUGUAAUGGGUUUGGGCCUUAGGCUUAGUUGGGU
rnacentral:lncRNA from 1 species